UACGGGGGGAGCAAGCGUUGUUCGGAUUUACUGGGCGUAAAGGGCGCGUAGGCGGUCAGCACAAGUCAGUUGUGAAAUCUCCGGGCUUAACUCGGAAAGGUCAACUGAUACUGUGCGACUAGAGUGCGGAAGGGGCAACUGGAAUUCUCGGUGUAGCGGCGAAAUGCGUAGAUAUCGAGAGGAACACCUGCGGCGAAGGCGGGUUGCUGGGCCGACACUGACGCUGAUGCGCGAAAGCCAGGGGAGCGAACGGG
rnacentral:rRNA from 1 species